UUUAUAUUGUCAUUGCGAUUGCUUUCAUAGAAUAUGCAUAUGCUCAACGAUAUUCUCCCCCGCCAUUUUGUAAGAUUUGGAGGACCUGGGUAUGGGCGAGGAGGUCCAUAUACCACGCGCUCUUCUUGCGCCGAGAUCGAGUAAUAACCCAAUAAAUCAGGAUACCCCAGCCGGUGCAAUUACGUUCCGUGGCUGAAGCCAACUCGCAGAACCCAACCCCUCUCGUAAAUAUUGCCCUCUGCGCACCGACGCAACAUCCUCGCCGAGUCCACCGCUGUUUCUUCCUCUCUCGGUUUCCUCUUUUUUUACGGCGGUCUCACGACCCUGCCGCAAUGCAGGGGAUCCUCCUCGUGUGCAUCACACGCCGGGGUUGUUGACGAUACUCGUGCCUCAUCCCCCUCGUGAGCAUCUCGCUCGUGUUCUUUUAUUAUCGCCCGCCGUUCUCUUACUGGACGCGGAUACCGUAGCGCAACCAUGGGAACCGUCGUGGCGUGUAGUGUCCGGGCCCUUUUUGGGGGGUUUAAUUGCCACUGUGCGAUCUGUUAAUUCGCGAGUGUCAGCUUGAGAAAGCGAGCCGAGAAGCAAGAGGGAGGAUUUAUCUCUCCACCGUCGACAACGUGAAGAUUCUAUGGGAGUGUGUAGUCGCGAAAAUAUGGAGGUUGAAACGGGACGACGGACAAGAAUGCGUCUGGGCUCCUAAGUGAAUCAUAGAUAAUCGAAAUAGGGGGAGAAGGCUUAAAAAAUAAUUCUACUGUAUAAUAUGUUAAAUAAAAGAGGAUCGAUAUAUUUAAGAUCAAAUUAACAUCUCUCUUAUUAAAAAGAUCUCAUUAUUCAAGUUUGAAUUAAUAAAACAUUGCGCACAUUGUGAGAGUGUAAUAAUUAAUAAUUAUUCACAUAUAUUCUUAACAAUUAUUGUAUUCAUAAAAGUAUUUCAUGUGGCUUAAAUAUUUUUAAAUAUAUUUUUCGCUCUCUUCCGACAAUGGUUUCGUCAGAUGCAGCGUUGAUGAACAUUUGCACGAUUAUCUUUCAGGAUGGCGAGAAACGGCGGGAGGGUCUCUCCUUGGUGUUUCCCGAAAAUUAUCGCCAGCAUGCGAUGCCGUGCACGCUUCACACAUGACAUACGACAGAUUUUCCCCAUGCAAUGAAGGAUGAAAGGAUUUGUAUACGUCUUGUUGAGAUGGCCACAGUUUGAAGAUUAUCCUUGAAAAAGCUUUUUCCGAUAGUAUUGGCUGCAUAAUUAAUCGAAUAAUAUUCAAAUUUUUUCAUAAUAAUAAAUGCCGGACUAUUAAUCAAGUUUGAAAUUACCAUAUUAUCACAUUACAUAGUUCUUCUUGUAAAAAGAUAGAGAAGAAAACAUAAAUAAAACAUAAUUA